AGCAUGUGGUUUAAUUCGAAGCAACGCGAAGAACCUUACCAGGCCUUGACAUGCAGAGAACUUUCCAGAGAUGGAUUGGUGCCUUCGGGAACUCUGACACAGGUGCUGCAUGGCUGUCGUCAGCUCGUGUCGUGAGAUGUUGGGUUAAGUCCGUAACGAGCGCAACCCUUGUCCUUAGUUACCAGCACGUUAUGGUGGGCACUCUAAGGAGACUGCCGGUGACAAACCGGAGGAAGGUGGGGAUGACGUCAAGUCAUCAUGGUCCUUACGGCCUGGGCUACACACGUGCUACAAUGGUCGGUACAAAGGGUUGCCAAGCCGCGAGGUGGAGCUAAUCCCAUAAAACCGAUCGUAGUCCGGAUCGCAGUCUGCAACUCGACUGCGUGAAGUCGGAAUCGCUAGUAAUCGUGAAUCAGAAUGUCACGGUGAAUACGUUCCCGGGCCUU
rnacentral:rRNA from 1 species